rnacentral:rRNA from 1 species
UGGCGAACGGGUGAGUAACGCGUGAGGAACCUGCCUCAAAGAGGGGGACAACAGUUGGAAACGACUGCUAAUACCGCAUAAGCCCACAGGUCGGCAUCGACCAGGGGGAAAAGGAGCAAUCCGCUUUGAGAUGGCCUCGCGUCCGAUUAGCUAGUUGGUGAGGUAAUGGCCCACCAAGGCGACGAUCGGUAGCCGGACUGGGAGGUUGAACGGCCACAUUGGGACUGAGACACGGCCCAG